GGGCGUGUGGUCUAGGGGUAUGGCGUCCGCUUCGCAUAUAUGCUACGGCUGCAUCAUUGCGGAAGGUCCGGGGUUCAAUUCCCCGCUCGUCCA
rnacentral:tRNA from 1 species